rnacentral:rRNA from 1 species
UACGGGGGGAGCAAGCGUUGUUCGGAUUUACUGGGCGUAAAGGGCGCGUAGGCGGCCAGCGCAAGUCAGUUGUGAAAUCUCCGGGCUUAACUCGGAAAGGUCAACUGAUACUGCGCGGCUAGAGUGCAGAAGGGGCAACUGGAAUUCUCGGUGUAGCGGUGAAAUGCGUAGAUAUCAAGAGGAACACCUGCGGCGAAGGCGGGUUGCUGGGCCGACACUGACGCUGAGGCGCGAAAGCCAGGGGAGCGAACGGG